CAUGGCUCAGGACGAACGCUGGCGGCGUGCUUAACACAUGCAAGUCGAGCGGGGUCCAACCUGUCGCUAGACAGGGGAAGACCUAGCGGCGAACGGGUGAGUAACACGUGAGGAACCUGCCCCGAAGACUGGGAUAACACCGGGAAACCGGUGCUAAUACCGGAUGCCCUCAGAGAGUCGCAUGGCUCAUUGAGGAAAUGGAUUCCGCUUCGGGAGGGCCUCGCGGCCUAUCAGCUUGUUGGUGGGGUAACGGCCUACCAAGGCUCCGACGGGUAGCUGGUCUGAGAGGACGACCAGCCACACUGGGACUGAGACACGGCCCAGACUCCUACGGGAGGCAGCAGUGGGGAAUCUUGCGCAAUGGGCGAAAGCCUGACGCAGCAACGCCGCGUGGGGGACGAAGGCCUUCGGGUUGUAAACCCCUUUCAGCAGGGACGAAAAUGACGGUACCUGCAGAAGAAGCCCCGGCCAACUACGUGCCAGCAGCCGCGGUAAUACGUAGGGGGCGAGCGUUGUCCGGAUUUAUUGGGCGUAAAGAGCUCGUAGGCGGUUUGGCAAGUCGGGUGUGAAAACUCCGGGCUCAACUCGGAGACGCCACUCGAUACUGCUAUGACUCGAGUCCGGUAGGGG
rnacentral:rRNA from 1 species